AGAGUUUGAUCCUGGCUCAGGACGAACGCUGGCGGCACGCUUAACACAUGCAAGUCGAACGAGAGAAGAGGAGCUUGCUUUUCUGAUCUAGUGGCGGACGGGUGAGUAACACGUGAGCAAUCUGCCUUUCAGAGGGGGAUACCGAUUGGAAACGAUCGUUAAUACCGCAUAACAUAAUUGAACCGCAUGAUUUGAUUAUCAAAGAUUUAUCGCUGAAAGAUGAGCUCGCGUCUGAUUAGCUAGUUGGUAAGGUAACGGCUUACCAAGGCGACGAUCAGUAGCCGGACUGAGAGGUUGAUCGGCCACAUUGGGACUGAGACACGGCCCAGACUCCUACGGGAGGCAGCAGUGGGGAAUAUUGCACAAUGGAGGAAACUCUGAUGCAGCGAUGCCGCGUGAGGGAAGAAGGUUUUAGGAUUGUACACCUCUGUCUUCAGGGACGAAAAAAGACGGUACCUGAGGAGGAAGCUCCGGCUAACUACGUGCCAGCAGCCGCGGUAAUACGUAGGGAGCGAGCGUUGUCCGGAAUUACUGGGUGUAAAGGGAGCGUAGGCGGGAUCGCAAGUCAGAUGUGAAAACUAUGGGCUUAACCCAUAAACUGCAUUUGAAACUGUGGUUCUUGAGUGAAGUAGAGGUAAGCGGAAUUCCUAGUGUAGCGGUGAAAUGCGUAGAUAUUAGGAGGAACAUCAGUGGCGAAGGCGGCUUACUGGGCUUUAACUGACGCUGAGGCUCGAAAGCGUGGGGAGCAAACAGGAUUAGAUACCCUGGUAGUCCACGCCGUAAACGAUGAUUACUAGGUGUGGGGGGACUGACCCCUUCCGUGCCGCAGCAAACGCAAUAAGUAAUCCACCUGGGGAGUACGACCGCAAGGUUGAAACUCAAAGGAAUUGACGGGGGCCCACACAAGCAGUGGAGUAUGUGGAUUAAUUCGAAGCAACGCGAAGAACCUUACCAGGUCUUGACAUCGUAUGCAUAGCUCAGAGAUGAGUGAAAUCUCUUCGGAGACAUAUAGACAGGUGGUGCAUGGUUGUCGUCAGCUCGUGUCGUGAGAUGUUGGGUUAAGUCCCGCAACGAGCGCAACCCUUACUGUUAGUUGCUACGCAAGAGCACUCUAGCAGGACUGCCGUUGACAAAACGGAGGAAGGUGGGGAUGACGUCAAAUCAUCAUGCCCCUUAUGACCUGGGCCUCACACGUACUACAAUGGCUGUCAACAGAGGGAAGCAAAGCCGCGAGGUGGAGCGAACCCCUAAAAGCAGUCUUAGUUCGGAUUGUAGGCUGCAACCCGCCUACAUGAAGUCGGAAUUGCUAGUAAUCGCAGAUCAGCAUGCUGCGGUGAAUACGUUCCCGGGCCUUGUACACACCGCCCGUCACGCCAUGGGAGUCGGUAACACCCGAAGCCUGUAGUCUAACCGCAAGGAGGACGCAGUCGAAGGUGGGAUUGAUGACUGGGGUGAAGUCGUAACAAGGUA
rnacentral:rRNA from 1 species